CUCUCAUAAUUAGUCAAGGCUUUUAUGGAGCGACCUUAGAAAUAUGGUCAGCUUGUUUGUCCUGCUUAGGCGAAUACAUUGAGAGGUCUGUAAAAGUUGGAGUAGCUUCUGCGAAAGAACAAGACAGC
rnacentral:ncRNA from 1 species